GUGCGACUUGAAGGAUAUGGUCGGUUGUGGAUUCUGACAUCCGCCAUUUUUUUUAUAUUCAUUAUAUAGGAAUGAGGGUGCUUCUGGCUCGACAUCGCUUGUUCUAUUCCACUAGAAAAACCUCAUUUUUUUGGGGUUGUGGUGUAAAUAGUACAUGAUCAUGACGGAGCUCGAGUAAAAAGUAUUGAUUCAUAUUUUAGGGGCACGGAUCUAGGGUUAGUGUUGAUUAAUA